rnacentral:rRNA from 1 species
UACGAAGGGGGCUAGCGUUGCUCGGAAUCACUGGGCGUAAAGGGUGCGUAGGCGGGUCUUUAAGUCAGGGGUGAAAUCCUGGAGCUCAACUCCAGAACUGCCUUUGAUACUGGCGAUCUCGAGUCCGGGAGAGGUGAGUGGAACCUGCGAGUGUAGUGGUGAAAUGCGUAGAGAUCGGCCAGGAACACCCAGGGGGAAACCAGCCGACUGGGGAUGUGCUGACGCUGAGGUGCGAGAGCGUGGGGAGCGAACCGG